CUGGUUUCCCAGGGUUCCCUGGGUUUAAGGGGUCAGCAGGGACACCAGGCAGUGAUGGAGCGGAGGGGCGACCAGGACGUAAUGGGUCCAAGGGAGAGACAGGAACCAAGGGAGAGAGGGGCAGGAGAGGCAGAGGGAAGCCUUGUCAGACAGGACCACCUGGAAGUCCAGGACAAAGAGGAGGCAGUGGAGAGCUCGGAAACGAGGGACUGAAGGGAGAGAAAGGGGAACCCGGACUCUCUGCCGAGGAGGUGAAGGAGCUGGUCAACCAAGAGGUUGUGAACCAGUGUGGGAUGGACUUCAAGUUUGUGGUGAAGUCCAAGGACCCGGAUGCUGAGAGCAUGUUGUUUGAGAGGGAUCCGGACGAGCCUGUAUCCAUCCUCACUCGCAGCCUACGUGAGGAUGAGAUGGGAGAGGAGGAAGAGGACAAGAAAAGACUUGAAAAGGAGCUGGUAGGAUCAACCACUCCUCCCCCCUUCUCCCUGCGAGAGGAGGGGACCCCAGGUGAUGACAACCUUACCGGUAAG
rnacentral:lncRNA from 1 species